ensembl:lncRNA
UUCUCAUUAGGAGGCUUUUUUUUAUGAAUGAUACUUCUUUGAACUGAGUAAGUAAACCCUGUGUAGCUGCUGACACCAAUGCAGUCCUAACCAGGAAGAGUGCCCAAGCACAGCAGCACCAUACUACCAGGAAAGAAAAAUCCAUGUCUAUUGUGGAAGACCUGGAAAAGAGAGGUGAGGAUGAAGGAGCUGCUGAGUGUGUUCUGGACAACCAGGUGCAAAGUCACCCUGCAUGGGUAGUUCUGUCAGUUGUCCUACACCAGGUUACUUAUCUCUGUUCAUCCAUCUCUGCCCAAAGGUUCCCAGUGCCACAGGCUUAUGGUCUCAACCACAGAGAUAGUCUUAAAGAGGGCAGUUAAUACCUAAUGUCAAAGGUUAAAAAAAAACAAACAAAGGAAAAUAUUAAGUUCUUUAACAUAUCUUAACAUCUUCACAGUUCCUUCUGGCCAGCAAGACUGUAAGAAUACAUUUCCUUAUUUAAACCACAUUGGUAAAAAUCUGAAUUCAGCUCAUACACAAAGAUACCCACAACAGCACUCAAGUCACAACUUUCAGGGCUCCUCGGUUUCUCCCUUUUUUGAAAUGCACAACUGGCAAUUUCCCACACUGAAUAAUUAUUGCAGACAAAAUUGCAAUUUAUGAGGGCCCCUGAGGGGAACCACAGUUCAGGCUGUUCCUGUCCAGGCUUCCAUGGACUUCAGUCACCCUUCCCAUGACCCAGGACCCCAUACCACCUGUACUGCUUUCAACUCAUACCCCAGUGAAGCUGCAACAGGGUUGGUUCCCAGCUGCCAAUAGCCCUGUCCUACUCAGCCAUGGUUCUUGCCCUGACAGACCCUGUGGGGUGUGACUGACCCUGCUGUACCCUGAUGGCACAAAACUGAAGAAAACAGUGAGAAGGAAAUUAUUGGCCAUUUUUCAAGGCAGACAAAAGUAAUUGUUUUCAAACUGUGAUACAUUUCUCUCAAAAGUGUCUUUCUUAUAUUGACUUUCAUAUAGUUUUGUGUAAAGAGCUACAGUAGUCUCUUUGAACUAUCUACUUAAAAGCAUGUAACUUAAAAAUAAAGCUUUUCUGGAAAGGGAGUGAAAGUUUCCACUCAGUUGUCCUCCAGCCUGCAUCUCAUACUCUGUCUGCAUGUUUCUGUUGUUUUCCUUAUACUGGCAACUUUUUAAUCUUUCAUUUUUAAUUUUCAACAGCCAGAAUUUGAGGAUUGGAAGGAAGACAUGGCUCAGGGAAACUGUUGGAGCUGUGUGGUCUAUCUUUAGCAGCAGCAGAAUGGUUUUAAAAUGACUUAAUCUGCUUGAGGCAUUCUAAGAAACUCCAGAUUUGUGUGUGAUUCUACUAAUAUACACUAAUCAUGAUUCUGUGACUAAAAACGUUCAUGAGAAGAUCACAGGUGACUUAAGGGGAUAUAUUGCAUCAUGGUAAGUGGGUAUAAAUGGAUAAAAAUCACAUAUAUAGAUAUGAAUGCCACAUGAAAGUCAGCGGAGUAGAAAUAGUGCAUGAGUAAGUGGAUUUAUCAUGCUUAUUAAAAAAAACAGAAAUACAUUCCAGGCUGCUAUUGCUCUACCUCUAAAUUAUAGAGCACACAAUACUCACCCUUCUCAAUGUGUAGAAGAAUAAGGGAAUAAGUGUACAGUAACUUCAGAUUGUUUUUUGUUGUUGUUGCUGUUGUUGUUUGUUUUAUUUAUUUAUUAAUAUUUGCAGUGCUGUUUCCUGAUGCUUGAGUUUCCAAAUGUGUGCGGAUAAAGGCAGACUGGUACACAGAGAUUUAGAUUUCAGCAUUCAAGGACCCACAUGGAAGCAAGCUGCAGUUAUCCUUAUGAAUCUAUGUCUUAGUCUUACUGUAGUGCAAAAUUCAUACAUUCUCUUCACCUAUAUUCCAUUCACAACAAUAUAUAUGUAUUGAAAAAAGUUAUGCAAAAACAAAAUGUUCUAAUGUGACUAUGAAACCUUCUGAAUAGUAUCAGAAGCAGAGUUCAUUUUAGUGAGAUGAAAAUUUAGAAAGACCUAAAAAAUUUGCAUUUCUUAUUGUAUUUGUGAAUAUUGCAAAUAAAAUAUCACUGAGUUCGUCAUGGAUGGCCACUGUCAAGAACUAAAAAGUACUAAGAUACAUAAAGAUCCUCAUGGAAAAGUAGGGCAGGGAUGACAGAGAGAAGGGAAGUGCAAUGGUACUUGACACAUUCAGGGCAAGACACUCCUGAUCGACAAUUGCAGUGUCAUUACCAGCUCAGGAGCAUCUGCUUCAGUCACAUCAUAGUCAGUAAAAUACCUCCAUUUCUGUCUUGCUGUUUACUCAUUCAUGUGUGUCAGAAUGCCAAUAGAUAAUCACUGUAUUUUGACGUGGCCUCACAUUUGUUCGAACAGAAAAUGUGAUGCUACAUUGCUGUCUAUAUCAAAAACAAUCUUGUAAAUAUAGCUGUCCCUCAUUUUCAUCCUCCCCAGUUGUUAUCCCUAGCACCAUUGGUGCAGCACAUUUUGUUUUUGUGUUCACUUACAGAAGUUUAAGAUCUAUGGCAGAGGCAAUCAGUAAGUAUUCACAAGAAAAAAAGUUGAAAAUGUAGCAGUGUGCUUUUUGCAGACAAGAUGAUUCACAUAUAUCUUAAUUCAAUUAUACUCAAAUUUAUUUGUUAUACAGUUGACAGCUAGGAAGCUCCUGAUCAUCAGAAUUGAGGCAAAAUAUUUAUUCUACUCUGCUUCUCCCUGUACUCCUCUGCUUUUAAUGUCAUUUGAGUCACUGCAGAUUCUUCGUGGAUAUUUGUUGCCCUAUGACUGUUGGCUUCAUAUUCUGUAGGCAGCAGCCAUGCAGCCACUUAAGGUACAUGGAAUAAUACACUACCCUGUUCUCUGGCCGCUGUGGCUCUGCUAGCAAGUAACUGCAGCACAGGAAGACUACUGGGUAGUAUUUACAAAAUAGGUUACUAAUGUUAUUAUGUAUAUACAUAUCUAUGUUUGUGUGCCUAACUUGGCACCCUGCCUUUUUACUAUUUACUGAAUGUGCUUUUGUCUCAAUUAACUGUUUACUUCUGCAGAAUAGUCAUAACUGAAAGUUAAUACAGUGAUAGAGGAAAAAGUAAUCCUUCCUAAUUGGCUGUGGUAAUGUACUUGACUUUUUUUGAAAGCACUUUAUUAUAAGACUUUCACUAUUGGUAAGGAAUCAAAAUAAUCAUUCCCCUCUUUCCUCCUACCCCCGAAGACCUGUAGCUGAUUGUUGUGACAUCACUGCACAUGAAACCCCUGUAUCACUAGUUUUUUAUUCCCUUUAUUAGGAAAAUCACUAGUUUUUUAUUCUCUUUAUUAUCCAUUUGUAAAAUGGAUGUGCUCUCUGUUGUUUCAUACGACAGUUAAGGCCGUUUCAGUGCAGAAUGCUCUUAGCUGAUUAUAAGAAUUACACUCUUUCUGUUCUUCAGUGUAACAAUUAACAAACCUAUAAUAAGAUAGAACAUUCAGCAAGCAAAAUUUCAUAAUGUCUAAAAUAUAAGUCUAUGCAUCAAAUCCAAGCCCUUUUUAUUUAAAGUCAUUUAGCAAUAGCUAUUAUGUAGGAAAAAAAUCUUCAUUUACUUAAAAAGGAAAAAAAACCUUAAUUUCCUGAAAAACUGCACUGAAAAAUAAUUGCUUGAAAUGUACACUGUUGUCUGACAAAAAAAAACUUCUAAUUAGCUUUUGCAGGAUCUUCCUUGAACCAAUCUAGACAGAAAGAUAUCCUUUACUGUUACUGAUGGGAUGGAAUGAGGCCAAGGCUGAUGGAGAGAACACUGACCAGAAUGCUGAGUUUUUUCAUGCAUUUUCCACGGAAAGAAUAUAAAGCAUCAAAGACUGAGGCCAGAGCCUUCCUUCAGGGUCUUGCUCAACCACUUCUGUGCAACUGGAAUUUUGUUUUUCAGUUUCCUUUUUGGUUCAUACACACAGGCCAUUCUUCUCACUUAGA